UACGAAGGGAGCUAGCGUUGUUCGGAAUCACUGGGCGUAAAGCGCACGUAGGCGGAUGUGUCAGUCAGGGGUGAAAUCCCGGAGCUCAACUCCAGAACUGCCUUCGAUACUGUAGAGCUUGAGUUCGGGAGAGGUGAGUGGAACUGCGAGUGUAGAGGUGAAAUUCGUAGAUAUUCGCAAGAACACCAGUGGCGAAGGCGGCUCACUGGCCCAAUACUGACGCUGAGGUGCGAAAGCGUGGGGAGCAAACAGG
rnacentral:rRNA from 1 species